AUUGAACGCUGGCGGCAUGCCUAACACAUGCAAGUCGAACGAGUGGCGGACGGGUGAGUAAUGUCUGGGAAACUGCCUGAUGGAGGGGGAUAACUACUGGAAACGGUAGCUAAUACCGCAUACCAUCGGAUGUGCCCAGGUGGGAUUAGCUAGUAGGUGGGGUAAAGGCUCACCUAGGCGACGAUCCCUAGCUGGUCUGCGAGGAUGGCCAGCCACACUGGAACUGAGAAACGGUCCAGACUCCUACGGGAGGCAGCAGUGGGGAAUAUUGGACAAUGGGCGCAAGCCGGAUGCAGCCAUGCCGCGUGUAUGAAGAAGGCCUUCGGGUUGUAAAGUACUGUCGGCGGGGAGGCGUUACCCGCAGAAGAAGCACCGGCUAACUCCGUGCCAGCAGCCGCGGUAAUAC
rnacentral:rRNA from 1 species